UUUUAUACUUGUUCAUCAACAUAAGCAUAGUAGUAUAUUCCUUCUUUCUUCCUACUUUGAUGACAUUUUCUGCUGCUGCUUUUAAACAGAUGAUUCUUGGUUAUCAUUCUUCCGUCCUCGUGACUUCGACAUCUUACUUUUGGAUGCAGUCCUCUAUGUUCCAGGAAAUGAAGAAGCGCAGAAAACCAUUAAGAUUAGCAUCUCUGAUGACGUCCCUUCUCCUGCAUGUCAAACAUGCCCUACGUCUUCGGGGACUGGAAGUCCAGCAACAAUCACCUCAGAGGGGGGAGAAGAUGCCGAACUAGAAACCAAAAAUAUGGACUCCUGUUUCGCCAACAUGAAGGAAUAGAAGAUGAGAGUUAUACUCACAGAACCAAUGGUGGUGCAGCACGUGGUGCUAUUAAUCAGCCAAGAUGACCAUGGUUAAUCAAGGGGUCAAUUGACAAUUACAAGAACCAAGCUAGUGAUCAUGAUGAUAUUAAUUGAUUAUGAAAUCUUUGAUAGCUUUUGAUUUUUGUUUGAGUUGCUACUUACACGAACAUAUGAGUAAUUUAUAUAUAAUAAGUUAUCUGAGAAACCAUGAAUUUUGUUUUAGUUUAUUGGUUAAUAGACUUGUAACAAUUUAUGCCCAUGGGCAUGAAUAAUGUAUGAAUAAUUUUUCUUUUAGGUAUAAAAUUUGAAAUAUAUUUAUGUAAUUUUAAAUAUAUUAAUCUAUAUAUACUAUUACUAGACUA